rnacentral:rRNA from 1 species
UACGUAGGGUGCGAGCGUUAAUCGGAAUUACUGGGCGUAAAGCGCACGUAGGUGGCUUGAUAAGUUGGGUGUGAAAUCCCCGAGCUUAACUUGGGAAUUGCAUUCAAGACUGUCUUGCUAGAGUGUGGAAGAGGGAAGCGGAAUUCCAGGUGUAGCGGUGAAAUGCGUAGAUAUCUGGAGGAACAUCAGUGGCGAAGGCGGCUUCCUGGUCCAACACUGACACUGAGGUGCGAAAGCGUGGGGAGCAAACAGG